rnacentral:lncRNA from 1 species
UGUUUGCUAGGUGACCUACCCUCACAAUUACCUAUCCACGUUAUCCACGUGCAGGUUCACCAUAUCUGCCGAACUUUAACUACACAAGCACCCUCCCUCCUCGAUUCAAACUAAAUGAUUAGGUAUCCAGAGUCCUUACACUUCACACUCUUUCCAAAUCUCUCUCAUGUUCAAUUCAAUUAUUUCAUACUUAACAUAUUAAUUUCUAUACAUAAUAAAACAUAAACACAUACACAAAAAAAUAUAUGAUAUCAUCACACACAUAAGAGGCAUAUAUUUCAAAAUACUUUUUGAAUCAUCUUGUACUAGAUCACACAGUAAGCACAUGAUACUCAGAUUCUUUACAUAACUGUACCAGAUCACACAGCAAGUACAGUGCAUCGUAAAUCUGCACUAGAACAUACAACAAGUACAGUGUACCCAAAUUUUAUACGUACAUACACUGGUUAUACAUUUCAUAUGCAUAACAUAUGUACACACAUAUUAAUACACACACAUAUAUAUUACAAUACAUAUAUGUAUCCUCACUACAUGUCUCACAUAGAAUAUAUAUUUAUAUUUACACACACAAUCUCUACCAAUACAUGU